rnacentral:rRNA from 1 species
UACGUAGGGUGCGAGCGUUAAUCGGAAUUACUGGGCGUAAAGGGUGCGUAGGCGGUUUUGUAAGUCUUGUGUGAAAUCUUCAGGCUCAACUUGAAGACUGCACGAGAAACUGCAGGGCUUGAGUGUGGGAGAGGUGAGUGGAAUUCCUGGUGUAGCGGUGAAAUGCGUAGAUAUCAGGAGGAACACCGGUGGUGUAGACGGCUUUCUGGACCGUAACUGACGCUGAGACACGAAAGCUAGGGUAGCAAACGGG